rnacentral:rRNA from 1 species
AUUGAACGCUGGCGGCAGGCUUAACACAUGCAAGUCGAGCGGGGGAAGGUAGCUUGCUACCGGACCUAGCGGCGGACGGGUGAGUAAUGCUUAGGAAUCUGCCUAUUAGUGGGGGACAACAUCUCGAAAGGGAUGCUAAUACCGCAUACGUCCUACGGGAGAAAGCAGGGGAUCUUCGGACCUUGCGCUAAUAGAUGAGCCUAAGUCGGUAUUAGCUAGUUGGUGGGGUAAAGGCCUACCAAGGCGACGAUCUGUAGCGGGUCUGAGAGGAUGAUCCGCCAGACUGGGACUGAGACACGGCCCAGACUCCUACGGGAGGCAGCAGUGGAGAAGAUUGGACAAUGGGGGGAACCCUGAUCCAGCCAUGCGGCGUGUGUGAAGAAGGCCUUAUGGUUGUAAAGCACUUUAAGCGAGGAGGAGGCUACUUUAGUUAAUACCUAGAGAUAGUGGACGUUACUCGCAGAAUAAGCACCGGCUAACUCUGUGCCAGCAGCCGCCGUAA